CUUAGGUUACUUUCGCAAACU
rnacentral:miRNA from 1 species